rnacentral:rRNA from 1 species
CACGUAGGGUGCGAGCGUUGUCCGGAGUUAUUGGGCGUAAAGAGCUCGUAGGCGGUGUGUCGCGUCGGCCGUGAAAACCUGCAGCUUAACUGUGGGCUUGCGGUCGAUACGGGCAUCACUGGAGUCCGGCAGGGGAGACUGGAAUUCCUGGUGUAGCGGUGAAAUGCGCAGAUAUCAGGAGGAACACCGGUGGCGAAGGCGGGUCUCUGGGCCGAUACUGACGCUGAGGAGCGAAAGCGUGGGGAGCGAACAGG